UUCCACAAUUUUCAGCACCUUCUCCACCGCCGUUGCGCCCAAAUGCGCCUUCAUCAAUAGCCUCUUCAUCGCCUUCACCGCUUUGAGGUUCACCAGCUUUAGUUUGUUGAUUGAAGACAACAACUUCCAACGAAGCUACGUAAGUGUUAGUAAAAUAUUUUAUUUCUCUCUCUCUCUCUUCCUUCUAAACGCCGCUUCCGCAUCUCUCUUCCUUUUCUAACUAUAGAUUUUAUUUUUCUCUCUGUUUCUUCCUUUUUAUUUUAUGCUUUUUUCUUCGAUGUGACUGGCGUUUGUUUUGUGUGUUUUUCAUGUGCGUUGAACCCUCUGCGUUCAUUAAUUUUGUUUUGUGUAUUCGGAUCGAGUUGUUUCACGUUCGGUUGCGGGGAUCUUCGGUUUAGGUUUGUUUAGGGAUUUUUUGUUUUUUUGUUUAUGUUGUUGAUAGGUUUUUCGUUGGAUUUGUUGUGUUAUGUGAGAUUGAUGGAUUUUUUUUUAAUUUAUAUUCCUUCAAUGUUUUUUCUUUUUUGGAAAAAUGAAUAUUUAUUUAUGGACGAAAUAGAUUUGCGAUUUUUGUCUCUUAAAUUCAUGUUUGAAUGGUGGUGUGACUUUCCUAUUUGGUUCUAUUUUUAUGAAGCCUGACUGCAAUUUUGCUUCUGAAAAAUUAAUCAGGAAAUAUGUUAUUGUUACUUUUUAUACGCAUAUCUAAUAUAUCUUCUUUUUUUUUUUAAUCAUGGUGGAAUAAGCUUCAAGGAUCUCUUCCUGGUGGUGGAAGUUCAAAUUUUUCUUCAAAUAUGCAUGGGAUGUGAGUAAAAUUUUCUUAAAUGAAUUAGUGUAAUUUGUUUACUAAUUCAUCAUCAUCAUCAUUGAUGUAGUCUUUUCUCAUCUGAUUGAUAAAACUCUUCUUUCUCUAUGACUACAGUACAUGCUAUAAAGUGUAGGCCUGUAGGAUUCUUAUAUCUAUGGUAGAUUACCAUGGUGAGAUGGGUUAGUUUAUAGGCUUCAUUUUGGUCUACAUACAAUUGGUAGGAUUCAAAUUUCUGUUUUCUUCCAAUGUCAUUUACCAGUUUCAUUUGUGUCUACUAAAGCAAACAAGACAUACUUUCUUGCAUUAUCUUCUAUGUUUAAUAUAAGGGAAUACAGUAAUUUUUGCAUGUGAGACAUGUGAUAUGAUAAUUUAUCAUUGCUACAAUUGUCAAAUUUUCAUUGAGCUCAUGAAGCAAGUCAUUGGGUAUAAGGAUAUACAUAGUUAACAAGACUUAAAUCACCUUUGACAUUAAAAUUGUUUUAUCUGGAAAGCAUUGUCAAGCUCACCCAUUAAAAUAGUAGUGAAUAUCUGUUCUAGGAUGUUAUUAUAAUCGUAACUUUUUAUUGGAGGUUGUCCAAUUUAAUAACAAAUUUGGUAAUUUUGGAGAGGUGGAAAGAAAUGGCUUCUGCUUUGGUUCAUUAUGUAUGAACCCAGAAUUGUCAGCAUUGAAGAGAAGAAAACUCAAGAAGAAUUCAUUAGCCAACUAUUUGAUCCAACAUCUGGACUAUUAACUCAGGACACGAUGUACAGAAACAGGAAAGGACAUGCCAUUAUUGCACCAGUGGGUCAGUUGCUAGAACGAAAGGCAAACGAUUUCAAAAUAUGAUCCAUUUCUCCAACCGAAAGGCUUAGCCGGGACUUCACCGGAAACAGAAACUUUGUCAGAAUGUGGAAGCCACGUGUCGUUCCCAGUGUUCUCUCUUUGCUUCUUCUUCUUCACUCGUUGCUCGCUAUGGUCUCUGCACAAGGCAUUAACAGAACCACUUGGAACACUCUCACUGGUUCGUGUCUCGUUUCAUUCUUCUUUCUCUUCCUUCUGUUUCACACUUCUUCAUAUGUUGCCGACAAAAUGCACCAAAAAAUAAAUAAUAAGAGGAAUUGUUCGAAGCUUGACUUAGCUUGUUUAGUGUUCCUUUGUUCAUCUUUGUCGAGCUGGUGCUUUGAAAAUUAUGUAUUUAUUUAUAUUUGAUGUUUUUAGAAUUUGAGUGAGUAGGAAAGUGAGAAUUUUAGAGUUGGAGCAGGUAAUCAACUCGUUGAAGUUGGUGUGGUGUAGCUGAGUUGUUAUCAGAAUUUUGAAAAUAUGUUUUUGUAUGCUCUAGCCUAUAGAUGGAAACUAAGAACCAAAGCGUCUAGUUCAGUUGGUUGAGCAAAGUGCAUGAGUCGUUAUAAAUCCCCUGGUCCUAUAUUUCAUUCCCAAGGAUAAAAAAAUGGAAACUAAGAAAGCAUGUAGCAAGUGGAAAUACAAGAUAUUCAAUACUUUUAGUAUAGCCAAGCUUUUUUGGUACAAGACCGUUGGUAUCUUCUAGAGCAUACUUUUUUGUGAAAUGGAAUGUUUGGAGUGAAUAGGCAAUUUAGUCCCUGAGAUUGUAACCACUUUGCAUAUUAGUCCCUGACUUAAAUUUUAAUUCAUAAUAGUCCCUAACUUUACAUAAGUUUUGCAAAAUAGUCUCUGUCGUUAAAUUCUCAGGUGACGGCGUUAGUGAGGUGUAUAGGUGGCAAUUCAGUGCCACGUAGAUUGUCCAACGUGGCACUGAGGUCUGCAUCAAUAAAUUCUCUCUCACACGCAAGGUUGCUUCUUCUUCCCCAAAAAAAUUAGGGUUUACAAAGCUGCUGGUUGCUUCUUCUUCUUCUUCUUCUUCUUCUUCUUCCCACGUUGAGUUGCUUCUUCUUCUUCUACUCUGAGGCUCAGUCGCUGCUGCUUGUUCACUUGAUUUGUCCAUGUCUGCAAGUGGCAGUUAUUGUGCAUUUUCUGGUAGUUUCAUUCGGCAAUGCCACCAUGGAAGACGUGCAACUAUUCAAACUGCAAGAACAAGGAGGCACCCAGGAAGGUUAUUCUAUACUUGUGCAUUACCCCAAACAGACCCAGAUAACUGUCAAUUUUUUCAAUGGGUUGAAGAAGAAAACCAACUUUCUAAUUCGUCUUCUGUCUCAAGAGAAACAAUGGUAGUGGCUGAUUUGAGGCUACAAAUUGAAGCUUUGUAGAAGAAAAUGAGAAAUUUAACAAACAUUGUGUUGUUAGGUUUUUCAUUUUUAAUUGUAAUGUUAGUUUUAGGGGGAAUGUAUUUUAGGUAAAAUGUGUAAUAGCAGCUUUUGAAAUUGUAAUUGUUGUUUUGCUGAAGAAUUUGUAGUAGGAAGUAGCUUUUGUAGUGUAAUAGCAGCUUUUGUUGCUACUGUCAAUUACCCAUUUCAAUUAAAUAUAAUUUGUUGGUGAAAUUUGUUGCUGAAAUUUGCAGUUUAUUAAAUAUAAUUUAAUAAAAGAAAGAGAAUUAGGUAAUAAGAAGCAGCUCAUAAUGUAUGUUGGGAUGGAUUGUACUACUCCAACUCCAAAUCCAACACAGUGUAUAAUUUAUAAAAGAAAGAGAAGAAACAUGAUAUCAUUUCGAAGGGACAGCUUGAAAUAAAAGAAAGAGAAUUAGGUGAUGGCACAAGAAAGAGAAGUUUAUUAAAUAUAAUUUGUUGUUAUAUAACUUUUUGAAGUUAUUGAAGUAGCACUAAACUAGGUGGUCCUACUCCAAUUCCAAAUCCAACACAGUGUAUAAUUUAUAAAAGAAAGAGAAGAAACAUGACAUUAAAUCAAUAUUUCACAUAAUAUUUGACAUCCCAAAACAUGGUAGUUAGAAGCAAUUGUUCAGUAAGCCAUAAUGUUUACAUCAUUUCACAUGCCAGUGAAGCUUUCAAAAUAUACAACUACACAUCCUAAUAUCAAAAUGCAAUAAAAAAUGCUUCUUCAGUUUUCUUCAUCAGCAACCUUCAAACUCAGCAACCUUCAAAAUGCAACAAAAAAUGGGUCUUCAGCAACCAACCUUCAGCAAGCUUCAAAAUGCAACAAAAAAU